CCUACGGGAGGCAGCAGUGGGGAAUAUUGCACAAUGGGGGAAACCCUGAUGCAGCGACGCCGCGUGAGUGAUGAAGUAUCUCGGUACGUAAAGCCCUAUUAGCAGGGAAGAAAAUGACGGUACCUGACUAAUAAGCACCGGCUAACUCCGUGCCAGCAGCCGCGGUAAUACGUAGGGGGCAAGCGUUAACCGGAUUCACUGGGCGUAAAGGGCGCGUAGACGGGAGCGCAAGUCUGGUGUGAAAUGCCAGGGGCCAACCUCGGAACUGCUUUGGAAACUGUGCAGCGAGAGUGCGGGAGAGGUAAGCGGAAUUCCUGGUGUAGCGGUGAAAUGCGUAGAGAUUAAGAGGAACACCAAUGGCGAAGGCGGCUUACUGGACUGUAACUGACGUUGAGGCACGAAAGCGUGGGGAGCAAACAGGAUUAGAUACCCGUGUAGUC
rnacentral:rRNA from 1 species